UAGAGCCCAGAAGCUGCAUCUCCAAGGGCGGGACAGAGUGCAUCCUGGGAAAUAGAAGGCCGAACCUGUGUCUCGGCAACCAAUAUGCUAUAACUGCCAGAACGGCCAUUCCUCCACAAAGGGCCACGCUGGGAUCCUGCCCCUAGCCACCCACGUCCCAAAACACCUCAGCUCAGGUUUGCAGGGAAUGGAGGUAGGGAGUGGGACUCACCUGCGUUGCGGCUGGGGGCAGGACAGGGACAGGAUAGCUCAGGUUUGCAGGGAACGGAACUGGGGACCCACAGCAACGCAUGGCAGGGCCAGCUAGUAAUAUAUA